rnacentral:rRNA from 1 species
UACGGAGGAUCCGAGCGUUAUCCGGAUUUAUUGGGUUUAAAGGGAGCGUAGGUGGAUUGUUAAGUCAGUUGUGAAAGUUUGCGGCUCAACCGUAAAAUUGCAGUUGAAACUGGCAGUCUUGAGUACAGUAGAGGUGGGCGGAAUUCGUGGUGUAGCGGUGAAAUGCUUAGAUAUCACGAAGAACUCCGACUGCGAAGGCAGCUCACUGGACUGCAACUGACACUGAGGCUCGAAAGUGUGGGUAUCAAACAGG